UCAAUCUGGGGAUGGACAGCAAGGCAGCCAGUCUCACUGAUGUCCUUGGAGCAGCCUCAUUAAUGUAGCAAAACAAGUGACUUAAAUAUAGUUCCAAGUUGAUGGUGUACAUUGCUGAUUGGUUACACCCAGUGAAAGUCAAUGUCCAUUGGUUAUGUCCAGUGAGAUGAUAUAAUUGCAACAGGGUAUGUUCUUUGUGCAUGUCCAUGGAGCUGUGCUCCCUAUUGAUUGUAACCAGUAAUUGUUAAAUGUGCCUAUGGUUAGUGCCCCUUAUAGCUCCUUAUUAAUUGCAACCAGAUAUGACUAAGAAUGCCUAUGGCUGCUGUUCCUUAUGGCCAGCAACUUAGUGAGUCCCAGCAUAUCCCAACAUGUUUAUGGCAGAUGCUCUUUAUACCUGGCCAUUGUCCAUUUGCAACUCAGUCUUUGAAACACAAUUUUAAAAUGUUUUUCUGAUAUAUACUUAUUGUGAAAAAUUUGGAAAAUAUUUUUUAAAUCAUAAUCCUACCCACCUACACAAACACGCACACCUAGGAAUAAAUAAAUGACAGAUUUUAUAUAACUGAAAUUAUGUACAUUUUGUAACCACCUUGCUUUUAUUAAAUAAAAAGUUAUUCAGUGACAGCAGAUAAAGAAUGAAGAGUUAUGGAAAAUGAUAAUCUGCAAAACAACCCCCAAAGAAAAGCAGAGAGACAAUGCUGCUCUGGAGGAGGGAAGGGAAACUAGCCAAGUAUUAUUAUCCUUCCAAUAAAUUCUUUCCUGAUAAAACAGGGGCCCUGAAGGAAGGAUGUGGGAGGCUGACUAGCAUGUGACCAUGUCCGACUCCCCUGCUGACCUGUGCAGCAUCCGGCAGUCAUGCUGUGAUCUGGAGAGCCCCUGUCUUCUAAGAUCUUGGUUCCCCUGGAAUGACCCUGAGUGUUUUAGUCGAGUACGACCCGACAGAAGGAGUCGAAUACUGAAACCCUGGGAGACAAUAACUUCCAGAAAAAAGAAAUGCCCAUCCCUCAUAAUCUGGACUCCUAUCUCUUCAAGAAACAAUGAGUUUCAACCUUUUACAGCUUCCCUUCUGAGUUAAAACUUUUAACCUACAUAACUAGCCCCUGACUGUCUGAAACCACCCUAACUGUACCCUAUAAACCAAAAUCCUCUCUGUAAACAAUGGCCAUUUUCGAAUUCAGUACCUGGAGAACAAUAAAUGGUUUCCCUGAA